rnacentral:rRNA from 1 species
ACGUACACUCCUGCGGGAGGCAGCAGUGGGGAAUAUUGGACAAUGGGCGCAAGCCUGAUCCAGCCAUGCCGCGUGAGUGAUGAAGGCCCUAGGGUUGUAAAGCUCUUUCACCGGUGAAGAUAAUGACGGUAACCGGAGAAGAAGCCCCGGCUAACUUCGUGCCAGCAGCCGCGGUAAUACGAAGGGGGCUAGCGUUGUUCGGAUUUACUGGGCGUAAAGCGCACGUAGGCGGACUAUUAAGUCAGGGGUGAAAUCCCGGGGCUCAACCCCGGAACUGCCUUUGAUACUGGUAGGCUUGAGUUCGAGAGAGGUGAGUGGAAUUCCGAGUGUAGAGGUGAAAUUCGUAGAUAUUCGGAGGAACACCAGUGGCGAAGGCGGCUCACUGGCUCGAUACUGACGCUGAGGUGCGAAAGCGUGGGGAGCAAACAGGAUUAGAAACCCCAGUAGUCCCAUG